UUUCCAUUAAGGGUUGCGGGGGGCUGGAGCCUAUCCCAGAAGUCACAGGGCGUGAGGCAGGGUACGCCCUGGAACAGCACGCUAGUCUAUCGCAGGGCUCAAGGAAAAAUGUGAAGGAUAAUUCAUAAGGACACAGGAAAAGGCAAUUAUGGUGUUCAGAGAAUCUGACUGCACUUAGAAACACUACGUAAUAAUUACCCAGCAAUGUUACUGGUGUGAGUCUGCUGUUAUGCGACUGCAGUUUUCUGAAGAUGGGCUGAAAAAUGUGUAUCUUCACCCUGUGAGUUCUGACCAUGUUGUUUUCCACAGGCUAUAAUAGGAGCAACAUGAUUAAAAAUAUG